rnacentral:rRNA from 1 species
AUUGAACGCUGGCGGCAUGCCUUACACAUGCAAGUCGAACGGCAGCACGGGUGCUUGCACCUGGUGGCGAGUGGCGAACGGGUGAGUAAUACAUCGGAACGUACCUUAUCGUGGGGGAUAACGCAGCGAAAGUUGCGCUAAUACCGCAUACGCCCUGAGGGGGAAAGCGGGGGACCGUAAGGCCUCGCGCGAUUAGAGCGGCCGAUGUCUGAUUAGCUUGUUGGUGAGGUAAAAGCUCACCAAGGCGAUGAUCAGUAGCUGGUCUGAGAGGAAGAUCAGCCAAACUGGGAGUGAGACACGGCCCAGACUCCUACGGGAGGCAGCAGUGGGGAAUUUUGGACAAUGGGGGCAACCCUGAUCCAGCAAUGCCGCGUGAGUGAAGAAGGCCUUCGGGUUGUAAAGCUCUUUUGUCAGGGAAGAAACAGCAGCUCUAACACAGUCUGCGAAUGACGGUACCUGAAGAAUAAGCACCGGCUAACUACGUGCCAGCCGCCGCUGUAA